GUAGGGUUAACUCCUCCUCUAGUGGCUGUCUACUAGACAGCCACUAGAGGGCACUUCCUGGAUGUGUGGACCUCCAGCGUCGCUCAUUUCCCCAUAGGAAAGCAUUGAAAUGCAUUUUCAAUGCUUUCCUAUGGGGAGCGCUAAUGCGCAUUACCGCACAUGCACAUUAGGUCUACCCGGCCGGUGGGGGCGGGAUCAGUCUCGCCCACCGGCCGACGCAAU